rnacentral:lncRNA from 1 species
UUUUAACUUCUUCACUUUGUUGCUUGGCUUUCCAUUUAUUUGCCCUGUUCUUCAGGAAGGCUCCUGAAAUCACAUCAAAACUAAAAGAUAAUGAUCCCAAACAAAGAUUAUUACAAAGAGAAAUUCCGUUUGCCAGAAAAGAAAAGUUCCAAAACAGAUAUUAAUUUUUUUUUUCUUUUACCCCAGUUUACAAUCAGAAGACUUUUGAGAAAGUCAAAUCAUACCUACUUGCAUGUUGCAAUAAUGAAUCAAGACUCUGACCAACAAAUGCAUCUCUUGAGAGUAAAAUUGAAUGACCAAGACUAGGAAGUGCUUCUCCUAAGAAUUAAAGUGAAAAAUUCUGACUAGAAAGUGUGUCUUCUAGAGAUAGAAUUUUAAAUUAAAAAGUGUGUCACUUAACAAAUGAGAACUAACAAGGAAGUGCGUCUCAUAAGGAUUAAGUGCAAUGACUCGACUAGAAAGUGCAUUUUCUAGAAAUCAAGGAGAAUAACUCGAUUAAAAGGUAUGCUUUAUAGGAAUCAAGGGGGAUGACUCGACAAAAAUGUACGUCUUAUAGGGGUCAAGGGGAAUGACUCUACUAAAAGGUACGUCUUAUAGGAAUGAAAGGGAGAUGACUCGACUAAAAGGUACAUCUUAUAGGAAUCAAGGGGGAUUACUCAACUAAAAGGUACGUCUUAUAGGAAUCAAAGGGAGAUGACUCGACUAAAAGGUACGUCUUCUAAGGGUCAACGGAAAUGACUCAACUAAAAGGUACGUCUUCUAGGGAGCUGUCACACCCCAUUUUUAAUUCCAAAAAGAUUUAUUUUAAGUUUCAAAAGGGUUUUUAUUAUUAAAGUGACAAAAAUGAAGAUUUCGUUUCAAGAAAGGAUUAUUUAUAUUUUUUAUUCAGAGUCGCCACUUGACAUAAAUUGGGUGUGCCAAGUCACCCAUGGAUAUCCUUUUCAAAAUAAUUUGACUCUUUAAACUGAUUUGUCAACAGAGAUUCCGACUAAGGAAUUCUGUUAACCAAGGGAAGGUGUUAGGCACCCCUUGAUCCUGUGGUUCAACCACGGUCACUUGGUGGAGCAUAUCGGCUAGUUUAACACUACGAAUUUAUAAACCACAGAAAAACACGCAAAACAAUCAAACAAACAAACAAAAACAAAACGAAUAAAAAAUAUAGUGUCCAGUCCAAUUAUACAGUCCCGAAUACUAUAUGCAAAAAAUGUAAACCUAUUCUAUUCUAAACUAUCCCUAAACUACUCUUGAAUGACACUCUGCCCGGCUUUCGGGCCUUGACUGUGCGCCGUCUUCAAGUACAUGAUACUUUGGGGCAUUCCCCAGUGAGUAAAUACAACUCCUUCGGGGCAUUCCCUAACAAGUGAAUACAAUUUUCAAUUUCAUGAGAUAAAUUAGAAAAGCAUUUAACACAUUCAAUAUUCCACGCAUUCGAUCCAACAUCAUUCCUAAAUUUGCCUACCCGAACCUAAACUUUUGCCUAUUCCUUUGAUGGCCUAAUCAUAAUACUACCACAUUCGACCUUCGUAUUUGUUCCAAAAUAACCAAUGACAGUAAACCACGACUAAACAAAAUUCAUUUUAUCCAUUUCUAUCAUCCAACCCCCCGCAUUCCUUUUUAACACCAAAUUUCAACAAAUUCAAGAUUACUAUUUCAACAAUCCACAACCAUCUAUUCAAUGAAGCCGAGAAACACAAAUCAAUAUCACCUAAUAUUCAACCAAAUCAAACACAUAUGACGAAAUAAAAUAAGAAACGAUAGAAUUGAACCUUGUUUCAUGCUUUACUACGAAUCUGUUUACUUUUCUCUAUUUUCUAUUACUUGUGGGGGUCGUAUUUAUGUUAUGCCAUCUUGUUCCAUGAUUUACUAUGUAUUUGUGUAGUAUUCCGUGUCUCGAUCCGGGCAACCUUUCUACUUCAUUAGAGGUAGAAGUAUGGACUGCGCACAUCUUACCCUCCCCAGACCUCACUAUGUGGGAAUACACUGGGUUUGUUGUUGUUGUUGUUGUAAUAAUAUUCAAGAAAAUCUGAAUUUGAAAUCCCGAACAGAAAACCUCAACGACGAACCCCAACUCGAUAAAGCCUUCACUAUUUCUCUCCAAAAACGAACCAAAAUUGAGAAAUAAUAGAGACCCAGAUCCAAAAUAAAUUCGAACAUAGAACCUGCGAAAACAGUGAACCCCAAAACCAAAACAAUUAUAAGAAUAUGAAGGAAACCUGCACAGAUGAAGUUCCGACGAGUGCUGGCAGCAGCGAAAAAACUGGAAGUGACCCUAAAUGUUCAAUUCCGGCGACGGGUUCAUCGGAAAAGAUUAAGGAAUGACUGGAUUUUGCUCCGAUUUCGCUGCUUCCCGCUGAAAUAUCAAGGCCCUGCCAUUUUUGAUCCCAUCCUUACUAAGCGUAUGUAUGUUUUCAAUAAGGGAGUGGAUUCUCCAGUGAGCUAUGAGCGUGUGUAUGCUUGGUUUUCAUUUGUGUUGAGAGUGAGGAUCUGUGAGGUGUUAACUAUGGCGUCUCUGUGUGUGGCGUGAGAGUGAAUCCCAAAAACAAGAAAGAAUAAAGGAGAUAGAUGAUGGUCCGUGUAUUGCUACUCUCUUCCUUCAAAAUAAAAAUGGAGCCCCCCUUGUUUAUGUGAAGAUGAUGAAGAAAAAAAGGAAUCCGAUGAGCUGUGUCUUCAUCCUCCCUUAGAUAUUGACCUGUGUAUGUGAGUAUUAUUGGAGAUGAUUGAGAAUCUCUCCCCAAAUUCAUGCUCUUCGUUUUUGGAAAAAUUUCCAAGCCCCCUCUG